UACGAAGGGGGCUAGCGUUGUUCGGAUUUACUGGGCGUAAAGGGCGCGUAGGCGGGCGACUAAGUCAGGGGUGAAAUCCCAAGGCUCAACCUUGGAACUGCCUUUGAUACUGGUUGUCUUGAGUCCGGGAGAGGUGAGUGGAACUGCGAGUGUAGAGGUGAAAUUCGUAGAUAUUCGCAAGAACACCAGUGGCGAAGGCGGCUCACUGGCCCGAUACUGACGCUGAGGCACGAAAGCGUGGGGAGCAAACAGG
rnacentral:rRNA from 1 species